UCUGUAUUAAUUAUGUGGCCUAACUUUCAUUAUGAUGAUUAAUAAACUUCAUCCGUGAUCCACUAUGAAGCCACAAUCAUUGAAUUUGUGAUAUAAAUAACAUACAAACUUUGAACAAUCUUAACACACAUAAACACAUACAAAUUCACACACAACAAGUAAAAUCCAGUUCAUAAUCAUUGAUAAGCCAUAAGUGAUUUUGUGAAGAAAAAUACCAAAACAACUCAAAUUCCAUUUUUCAUUACAACAGCCUAGACAAAAAAAAACGAUUCCCGGAGAUAGAACCGUCGGAUCAAUAUGGUUUUUUGAUAGUCGUUUCCUAACAAAUAGACCAACAUUUUCAACCGAUGAAUUUAUCCAAAGUUGUCUAAAAGUGGAAUUACAAGGCUGGAAUAGAAGGCUGGGAAUUUCAGUGAAUCUUGAUUAAAUCAUCUUUGAUCAUACCUUUUGAUUAAGCGCACUUAUAAGGUUGGAUUAAACCUGAACGUUGAAUCACGUGUGAAUUUAUUAAUGCGUGUACCGGUACUACUACUUGAAUUUGCUAUACUUUAAGGUAACUAAAACACACUCUAUGUGCAUGGGACCUCUUGCUGCUGCAUAUACAUGAUGGAUUAUGCCUACCUGUAGAUGCAUAUUUGUGUGACAAUAGCAACAUAAAUUUGAUUAUCAUUUAUGUUUUGGGAACUAUGUUUGUAAUCAUAUAAAUAAGAACUCUUGUUGGUAUUUAA